CUACUGAACAAAAAGAAAACUCCGACCAACUUAAAACUUUUUAAAAAUUGACGCAAAAAAAAAAAAAACCAUAAAUGGGUUACUUCACUUAAAAAAUUAGGGUAGACAAGACCAAGCCUGAGCCUUAAAUGAAAGCGCGAGCCCUAUUCCUUAAACCAGGCUAAAUUUUUUCUCCAAACUCGGAACUCGGGCGGUACCCCGGCCAUGAAACACACAAUACCCCGCCGCCAAACAAGCUUCUCACCACUUUAGUCCACUACUGUCCCGGCCUCCUUCAUUGACUUGACCCAAAGCCCUCUCCUUCCGACAGACAAGGAAAUUAAAUGAGGUCAUUUGACAGCCUAAACUUCACUUACAACAUUUCUUCUGCUCGAGUCAUGAGAUAUUGUCUGCUCUCUUAGCGGUGGUGCGAACUGGCGGCUGCUCCACCGCUAUUUGAAACCAUUUCUCCGGGCUGCACAUCCGAGCCUCGACUCUGGAUUUUAGUCUGCAAGAAAUACAGCCAAGUGGGAAGCAAAAGCAACAUGAAGGGCAUAGCUAACCUUUUGCAAACUUGCAUAGACAACAAAUCUCUUCUGCUAGGCAAAGUCCUCCAUGCUUACAUUCUUCGCACCAACCUUUUAACCAAUACUUUCCUAUGCAACCGUCUCAUUGAACUCUAUUCCAAAUGCAACGACCCAACAUAUGCUCAUCGUACAUUCGACAAUACCCCUCAGAAGGACAUUUAUUCCUGGAACGCCGUUUUGAGUUUCUAUUGCAAAACUGGGAACUUAACUUUUGCCCGUAAAGUGUUCGAACAAAUGCCUGAAAGAAACGUUGUUUCCUGGAACAACCUGAUUAGUUUAAUGUUAAAAAAUGGGCACCAGGAAAAAGCUUUGGAUGUUUAUAAGCUUAUGGUUUUGGAAGGUUUUUUGCCCACCCAUAUUACUUUUGCUAGCGUUUUAAGUGCCUGUGGAAGUGUUUUUGAUUUGCAGCUCGGGAAGAGAUGUCAUGGUCUUGUCAUUAAGAUUGGUCUUGAUAAGAAUAUCUUUGUCUGUAAUGGGUUAUUGUCUGUUUAUGCUAAAUGUGGGGUUAUGAGGGAAGCUGUUCAAAUUUUUGCAGACAUUGAUGAACCUAAUGAGGUUACUUUUACUUCAAUGAUGGGUGGGUUAGGAAGGAUUGAUGGGGUCGUUGAGGCUUUGGAGAUGUUUAGAAUGAUGUCUCGGAAAGGGGUUCGGAUUGAUUCUGUUUCAUUGUCUGCUGUUUUGAGUGUUUGUGCAAAGGGGGGAGAGUAUGAUGAAUUUGGCUGUUAUGAAAGUGGAGAUAGAUUAUUACGUAAUGUUGUACUUGGAGAACAAAUACAUGGUCUUGCAUUUAAGCUUGGAUUUGAACAUGAUCUUUAUUUGGGCAACUCAUUGCUUGAUAUGUAUGCUAAGAAUGGGAUUAUGAAGAGUGCUGAGAUGGUUUUCCAUACUUUGGGAAAACCCAGUGUUGUCUCCUGGAAUAUAAUGAUUGCUGGAUAUGGCCAGAAAGGAAAUAGUGGGAAAGCUAUUGAGUGUUUUCAAAGAAUGCAGUUUAGUGGUUUUAAACCUGAUGAGGUUACAUAUAUUAAUAUGCUUGCAGCGUGUAUAAAGGGUGGAGAUGUUGAAACUGCACGUCAAAUGUUUGAUAACAUGUCAUGCCCAAGUGUUAUUUCAUGGAAUGCUAUAAUCUCUGGCUAUUCCCAGAAUGAGAAUCACAGAGAAGCAAUAGAUCUUUUUAGGGAAAUGCAGUUUCAAAGUGUAAAACCUGAUCGGACUACUGUGACUGUUAUCCUUGGCUCAUGUGCUGGAAUGGCCUUUCUGGAGGGUGGAAAACAGGUCCAUGCUGCCUUGCAAAAGGCUGCUCUUCAUACUGACAAUUAUGUUGCUGGUGGGCUGAUUGGCAUGUACUCAAAGUGUGGGAAGAUAGAAAGGGCAGAGCACAUAUUUUCUUCCAUGCCAGAGUUAGAUAUUGUCUGUUGGAAUUCUAUGAUUGCAGGUCUUACUCUUAAUUCUCUAAACAGAGAAGCUUUCAUGCUCUUUAAGCAAAUGCGACAGGGUAGAAUGUUGCCUACUGAGUUCUCUUAUGCCACAGUAUUGAGCUGUUGCACGAAAUUAUCUUCUUUAUUUCAAGGUAGGCAGGUCCACUCUCAGAUAGUAAAAGAUGGUUAUGAGAGUGAUGUGUUUGUAGGCACUGCUCUUGUUGAUAUGUAUUGUAAAUGUGGUGACAUAGAUGGGGCAUGGAAGCAUUUUGAUAUGAUGCCUGUCAGAAACAUCGUUACAUGGAAUGAGAUGAUACAUGGAUAUGCCCAGAAUGGAUAUGGAGAUGAGGCGGUUCAUCUAUAUGAAGACAUGAUUGCAUCAGGUGCGAAACCUGAUGCUGUAACCUUUAUUGCUGUUUUGACUGCUUGUAGCCACUCAGGAUUAGUAGACUUGGGGUUCAGAAUUUUCAACUCAAUGAAGAGUGAGCAUGGAAUUGACCCAGAAUUGGAUCAUUAUACUUGCAUCAUUGACUGUCUCAGCCGAGCUGGUCAUUUUCAUGAUGCAGAGCUCCUUAUGGAAAAGAUGCCAUAUAGAGAUGAUCCAAUUGUAUGGGAAGUUGUGCUUAGUUCUUGUAGAGUCCACGGUAAUGUCAGUUUAGCUCAACAGGCAGCACAGGAACUCUUUCGCCUGGACCCUGAGAGCUCUACCCCUUAUGUGCUUUUAGCCAAUAUCUAUUCAUCUUUAGGAAGAUGGGAUGAUGUAAGAGUUAUAAGAGAGCUGAUGAGUGAAAAGCAGAUUGUUAAGGAUCCUGGUUAUAGUUGGACCGAAGAUAAAGAGCAAGAUACAUGUCUAUUUGUUGGGUGAUACAUUUAUGGAUGGUCAAUGAGGCUUUUGACUACAUUACUCUCUAUGUUAGAAAUCAGUCAUUUAGGUUUUGUGGGCUGUGCCGAAGAUGCAACUAAAAUCACUCAAUAGAAGGCCAAGAGAAUGACAUGGGAAACCAAUGAUCUUUGCUACCAAAAUGAUUUGGCCAUAGUUUGCUUAUUGUUUAACUUAUUUAUUUAUGUAAAAAGGUGGAGAAUGUUGCAGAGUUUUGAAGUGGAGGUUCAGUGGCGAAUCACCCAAGAACCCGCAAAAGAGUCCAUGUUGCCAUCCCCUGUUGUUCACAGGAUGGUAGUGCCUUUCUAAAGUGGUAAUAAAUACCUAUAUUUCCCUAGUCAUGUAUAUACCUAAAAACUAUUACUUUGCCUAUUGUUUUCCUUUUUCUGGUGGGGUGAUCAUUGAUCAAUGAUCAUUAGGAUUUUUCUAUGCUUCACCUUUAUUAGUGAUAUUGAGGUUUGGGUUUUUUAUAUUAUCACGUACUGUUGAAAUGUCAUUUGUGGUGAAAUGGUGGCAAUUGUGUUGGCUGACAUGCAUGACUGUUGUGGGCAGAAAGAGAAUGAGUUGAAAAGGUUUAAGGGCAUAGCUGGAAAUCAAAAUGCUGUCAAACCAAUAAUUUCGUUGCAACACAGAAAGGAAAUUUGAUUGAUAUUGACCUGAAGGGGUUUUGGACUUGGAGAAACAUGUACGAGGAGGUAAUGGUUAUCCCAAUGCGUGGUUUCUUUUUGUAGGAAGUUUUCUGUUGGUAUCUCAUGAUGAAUAUCAUCGGUGUAUUUUUCUUCAUAGGAGAGAGAACCAUAUGUUACUCAAGCUGGAAACAUGAACUCAGCCUACAUCAAGGGCGUGAUUGAAGAGGAGAAAAAUAUUAUAAAGGUAACGGGGUUCAGAGUUUAUGAAUGUUAAUUCUUUUAAACUAUGUAUAGAGCGACUUAAUUCGUUCUUGGCAUGAUUGGUGAAAUCAAUCGUUGUGCUUUCAUAGCAUUGUGGAUGUUAAUCAUAGAACUUGUUGUGUAGAUUCUUUAAAUCAUGAGCUGUUUGUGAAUUAAGUUCUUCUCUGUUAUCAGCUGAUGAAUAAGAGAGAUGUCUUAAGGCCUGAUUAUUCUGAA